AGAAAUCUCUCUGAUUUAGGAGAGGACGGGAGCACAGCACGGGAGAUAGGGGGACCAGGGCCUUAGGAUGAAUAAUAGAGUGAAACAGCACGGGUUUUCACCCAGCUCUGGGAAAAAGCCUAACCCUUGCCUCUGCGAUGUCUGCCUGACU